AGAGUUUGAUCCUGGCUCAGGACGAAUGCUGGCGGUGUGCUUCACACAUGCAAGUCGAACGGGGUAGCAAUACCUAGUGGCGGACGGGUGAGUAACACGUAGGAAUCUGCCUUUAGGCGGGGGAUAACAAUCCGAAAGGAUUGCUAAUACCCCAUAUGCAUAAGCCUCGAUAGGGGUUUAUAUGAAAGGAGCAAUCCACCUGAAGAUGAGCCUGCGUCCGAUUAGCUAGUUGGUAGGGUAAAAGCCUACCAAGGCGACGAUCGGUAGCUGGUCUGAGAGGAUGAUCAGCCACAAUGGAACUGAGACACGGUCCAUACUCCUACGGGAGGCAGCAGUGGGGAAUUUUACGCAGUGGGCGAAAGCCUGACGUAGCGACACCGCGUGAGCGACGAAGCCCUUUGGGGUGUAAAGCUCUGUCGGCUGGAACGAAAAAAAUGACGGUACCAGCAAAGGAAGCAUCGGCUAACUACGUGCCAGCAGCCGCGGUAAGACGUAGGAUGCAAGCAUUGUCCGGAUUUAUUGGGCGUAAAGAGUUCGUAGGUGGUUUGUUAAGUCUGAUGUUAAAGACCGGAGCUCAACUUCGGAACUGCAUUGGAUACUGGCAGACUAGAGUAUGGUAGAGGCAAGCGGAAUUCCCAGUGUAGCGGUGAAAUGCGUAGA
rnacentral:rRNA from 1 species